rnacentral:rRNA from 1 species
CGCGUAGGUGGUAGUGCAAGUCUGGGGUGGAAUCCCAGGGCUUAACCCUGGAACUGCCUUGGAAACUGUAUUACUUGAGUCAGUGAGGGGAGGGUAGAAUUCCUAGUGUAGCGGUGAAAUGCGUAGAUAUCAGGAGGAAGGCCUGUGGCGAAGGCGGCCCUCUGGCGCUGAACUGACACUGAGGCGCGAAAGCGUGGGGAGCAAACAGGAUUAGAUACCCUGGUAGUCCACGCCCUAAACGGUGGGUACUAGGUGUAGGGCUCGUAAGGGUUCUGUGCCGAAGCGAAAGCAUUAAGUACCCCGCCUGGGGAGUACGGCCGCAAGGUUGAA